rnacentral:rRNA from 1 species
UACGUAGGGGGCGAGCGUUGUCCGGAGUUACUGGGCGUAAAGCGCUUGUAGGCGGUCCACCAAGUUUGGGGUGACAGUUGCCGACUUAAUCGGCAAAGUGCCUCAAAGACUGGCGGACUUGAGGGCCACAAAGGGACAUGGAACUCCAGGUGUAGUGGUGAAAUGCGUAGAUAUCUGGAAGAACACCAAAGGCGAAGGCAGUGUCCUGGGUGGUCGCUGACGCUGAGAGGCGAAAGCCAGGGGAGCGAACGGG